CGAAAAUGAAUGAAAGCGACAAAUUUAUAGAAUAAAUUUUUAAAACCAACGGCGGUCCUUACAAAAAAACCGCCGUUUAAAUUGUAAAAUCAACGUCGGUAUGACCGACGUAUAUUACAGAAAUCCACGUCGGUACAUUAAUAAAAACGACGUGUUAAAUAAUCUACCAUGACGCGAGUUAUUACUUAUGAACUUUAAUUUUU
rnacentral:lncRNA from 1 species